rnacentral:misc_RNA from 1 species
UUGUUUAUUAUGUUUUAUACUCAGACUGCACAUACAUUCAGAGUUUUGAUAGCUCCGGUAGGGCUUCGCUUUUACGCUAGGCUCACCAAAGCAUCAGUGUAGCAUAGGUUUGAUAAUUGGGCUUUUGAAGACCCUAUUUAUCUUUAAUGAUCCUUCCGCAGGUUCACCUACGGAAA